rnacentral:rRNA from 1 species
GGCGAUCAGAUACCGCCCUAGUUCUGACCGUAAACGAUGCCAACUAGCGAUCCGCCGGCGGAUUCAUUCGCCCUGGUGGGGAGCUUCCCGGAAACGAAAGUCUUCCGGUUCCGGGGGAAGUAUGGUUGCAAAGCUGAAACUUAAAGGAAUUGACGGAAGGGCACCACCAGGAGUGGAGCCUGCGGCUUAAUUUGACUCAACACGGGGAAACUCACCCGGCCCGGACACCGUAAGGAUUGACAGAUUGAUAGCUUUUUCAUGAUUCGGUGGAUGGUGGUGCAUGGCCGUUCUUAGUUCGUGGAGCGAUUUGUCUGGUUUAUUCCGAUAACGAGCGAGACUCUGGCCCACUAAAUAGUUGGCACAUUGCCACUGUGUGCACAACUUCUUAGAGGGAUUUUCGGUGUUCAGCCGCACGAAAUUGAGCAAUAACAGGUCUGUGAUGCCCUUAGAUGUCCGGGGCUGCACGCGCGCUACACUGGCAAAAUCAGCGUGCUUGUCCUCCCCCGAAAGGGGUUGGUAAACCGAUGAAAAUUUGCCGUGAUUGGGAUCGGACAUUGCAAUUAUUGUCCGUGAACGAGGAAUCCCUUGUAAGGGCGAGUCAUCAACUCGUCCUGAAUACGUCCCUGCCCUUUGUA